GGCUAAUUUUUGUAUUUUUAGUAGAGACGGGGUUUCAGUAUGUUAUCCAGGCUGGUCUCAAACUCCUGACCUCAGGUGAUCUGCCCGCCUCGGCCUCCCAAUGUGCCAAGAUUACAGGUGUGAGCCACUGCGCCCGGCCAAUAAUGUAUAUUUUUUUAUGCAUUUGGCUACAUUUUCAUUGCAUAAAAAUGAAUUAAAUUACUUUACACAUAUUAACAAUC
rnacentral:lncRNA from 1 species